GAAAAGAAAAUUAUUAUUCUCCCUUGGCUCUAUCGACAGCCAUUUAUGGAGCAAGGAGAAAGGGAGAAAGAAUGCUGGUGAGAGAGUAGAAAAUGGCAACUGGAUAGAGUUGUUUAUGAGGUAAAGAAAAGGGAGAAAAAGUGCUGGUGAGAGAGCAAAAAAAAUGGCAGUUGGAGAAUGAGAGAAAAAAACUGAGUUGCUGAUAGUUUAAGGAGGAAAAAGGGGGCUGACUUGCUGUCAGUUUUGAGAGGGAGAAAUGAGUGGACUUGCUAUCGAUUUUGAGAGGGAGAAAUGAAGGAAUUUGUUUCCAGUUUUGAGAGGGAAAAAGAAAGAGUCUUGUUGCCGAUUUGAGAAGGAAAUUCUGUUGAACCAAGGAGAGGAAGUUGCGACAAAGGAGGGAGUGAAGGACGACGUGUAAGUUGUCAAUAAUGAAGGUUGGGAGUUACUGAUCGGGUAACAAGAGAAGAGAGAAAAAGAGAAAGAGAAUAAUGUUGGAGACUUGGCAAUCCUAGCCUAAUUUGGAAGUACCAAAGUAAAGAUAGUGCACUGUAGUGGCAUGUCGGAGGAAGUAACGAGCGACCGACAAGUAAAAAUAGCGACGUAGUAACCCGCUAUUGCAAGACAGGGAUCUGCCUAGCGUGUAAUCAUCGGUGCGUUCGGUCCACUACAGUUAGGUAAAGGCAUCUCCUAGCAUUCUAUUCCCAGUCACUCCGCUGUUAGAGGUAGAGUUGUAGCACUUUGUUCAUUAAGUGGUAAAUAGAUAUUGAUUUUGGUAUAAGUAAAUAAUUGGAGAUUGUGGAUUUCAAUGUAUA